rnacentral:rRNA from 1 species
UACAGAGGGGGCAAGCGUUGUUCGGAAUUACUGGGCGUAAAGGGCGCGUAGGCGGCCCUCUAAGUCGAACGUGAAAUCCCUGGGCUCAACCCAGGAACUGCGUCCGAGACUGGCAGGCUCGAAUCCGGGAGAGGGAUGUGGAAUUCCAGGUGUAGCGGUGAAAUGCGUAGAUAUCUGGAGGAACACCAAUAGCGAAGGCAGCUCGCUGGGACGGUACUGACGCUAAGGCGCGAAAGCGUGGGGAGCGAACAGG